rnacentral:piRNA from 1 species
UGUGAUUGAUCACACGUGAAUUUCCUUCCA